GACGAACGCUGGCGGCGUGCUUAACACAUGCAAGUCGAACGGAAAGGCCCUGCUUUUGUGGGGUGCUCGAGUGACGAACGGGUGAGUAACACGUGAGUAACCCGCCCUUGACUUUGGGAUAACUUCAGGAAACUGGGGCUAAUACCGGAUAGGAGCUCCUGCUGCAUGGUGGGGGUUGGAAAGUUUCGGCGGUUGGGGAUGGACUCGCGGCUUAUCAGCUUGUUGGUGGGGUAGUGGCUUACCAAGGCUUUGACGGGUAGCCGGCCUGAGAGGGUGACCGGCCACAUUGGGACUGAGAUACGGCCCAGACUCCUACGGGAGGCAGCAGUGGGGAAUAUUGCACAAUGGGCGGAAGCCUGAUGCAGCAACGCCGCGUGCGGGAUGACGGCCUUCGGGUUGUAAACCGCUUUCGCCUGUGACGAAGCGUGAGUGACGGUAAUGGGUAAAGAAGCACCGGCUAACUACGUGCCAGCAGCCGCGGUGAUACGUAGGGUGCGAGCGUUGUCCGGAUUUAUUGGGCGUAAAGGGCUCGUAGGUGGUUGAUCGCGUCGGAAGUGUAAUCUUGGGGCUUAACCCUGAGCGUGCUUUCGAUACGGGUUGACUUGAGGAAGGUAGGGGAGAGUGGAAUUCCUGGUGGAGCGGUGGAAUGCGCAGAUAUCAGGAGGAACACCAGUGGCGAAGGCGGUUCUCUGGGCCUUUCCUGACGCUGAGGAGCGAAAGCGUGGGGAGCGAACAGGCUUAGAUACCCUGGUAGUCCACGCUGUAAACGGUGGGUACUAGGUGUGGGGUCCAUUCCACGGGUUCCGUGCCGUAGCUAACGCUUUAAGUACCCCGCCUGGGGAGUACGGCCGCAAGGCUAAAACUCAAAGGAAUUGACGGGGCCCCGCACAAGCGGCGGAGCAUGCGGAUUAAUUCGAUGCAACGCGUAGAACCUUACCUGGGUUUGACAUGGAUCGGGAGCGCUCAGAGAUGGGUGUGCCUCUUUUGGGGUCGGUUCACAGGUGGUGCAUGGCUGUCGUCAGCUCGUGUCGUGAGAUGUUGGGUUAAGUCCCGCAACGAGCGCAACCCUUGUUCACUGUUGCCAGCACGUUAUGGUGGGGACUCAGUGGAGACCGCCGGGGUCAACUCGGAGGAAGGUGGGGAUGACGUCAAGUCAUCAUGCCCCUUAUGUCCAGGGCUUCACGCAUGCUACAAUGGCUGGUACAGAGAGUGGCGAGCCUGUGAGGGUGAGCGAAUCUCGGAAAGCCGGUCUCAGUUCGGAUUGGGGUCUGCAACUCGACCUCAUGAAGUCGGAGUCGCUAGUAAUCGCAGAUCAGCAACGCUGCGGUGAAUACGUUCCCGGG
rnacentral:rRNA from 1 species